rfam:Tetragenococcus halophilus NBRC 12172 DNA, complete genome.
AACCGCCGUAUACGGAACCGUACGUACGGUGGUGUGAGAGGUCGACUAAUCAAUUAAUGGUUAGUCUCCUACUCGAU